rnacentral:rRNA from 1 species
GACGGGACCCGCACAAGCGGUGGAUGAUGUGGUUUAAUUCGAUGCAACGCGAAAACCUUACCCACCUUUGACAUGGCAGGAACCCUGAAGAGAUUGGGAGUGCUCGAAAGAGAACCUGCACACAGGUGCUGCAUGGCUGUCGUCAGCUCGUGUCGUGAGAUGUUGGGUUAAGUCCCGCAACGAGCGCAACCCUUGCCAUUAGUUGCUACGAAAGGGCACUCUAAUGGGACUGCCGGUGACAAACCGGAGGAAGGUGGGGAUGACGUCAAGUCCUCAUGGCCCUUAUAGGUGGGGCUACACACGUCAUACAAUGGCCGGUACAGAGGGUAGCCAACCCGCGAGGGGGAGCCAAUCCCACAAAGCCGGUCGUAGUCCGGAUCGCAGUCUGCAACUCGACUGCGUGAAGUCGGAAUCGCUAGUAAUCGCGGAUCAGCAUGUCGCGGUGAAUACGUUCCCGGGUCUU